UUGACUUUCAGAAGGCCUGCUUCUGUCUCUCCUGCUCUCCCACCCUGUCUCUUUCACUCUCUCCCGUCUUUGCCUCUCUCUCCUGCCAUCUCGACUUUUAUAAACGAGGACCUUUCUUGAGCGAUAGGAUCCAUUUCUUCCAGUGAACAGUUGCCAGUGGGAGUUUGUCUUGUUGAGGGUUUUAUACCAGCGGCAUUUACAGCCCGGGUGUGGAUUUCGGAGUUUACACACGGUCCUUUAAUGCUUUUCAAGAUAGGGUUUGCGUCUUGUGUUGAGGGUAAGAGCGUAAAUGUUUCAACCUUCCCUUGUUCUUGAAAUGAUUCUGGGUGAUUUGGUGAUUCAUUUGUGUGUUCUUGGCUCUCUACACUGGUGGUCAAACUCCUGAGAAAUAUUAAACAACAACCAAAAAAACAGAUAAAUAAAAAAGACCUUUAGAUAUACAGCUAAAGGAUGAUCUGUUGUUCUUUAAAAUAGUUUAAUUCCAUGUUUCUUUAUUAAACAAGCAUUUAUUUUAGGUGCAUGACAUGCCAGGCACUGGGCUAGAUGCCCAGGAUUCAGAGUUGGAGAAGAUCUGGCCUCUGUUUUGAAUCUGUUCAGAGUUUGCUAAUUUCACAACUUAGAGGUCACAGCUACUCCGGAGCUACAGAAAGGACAGAGCUUUAGAAAAUGUGUGAAUUCUGUGAGACACUUAAUGCAAGAUUUUAUACGCAUGUGCGUUUUUCUGGGAAGAGGAUUCAUAACUUCCAUUGGAUUCUUAAAUCAUUCAUGAACAAAAAUGCUUUAGAACCAGGGCCUCUGCAAUUGCAGCAGAAGUUUAGAUGACCUACCCCUGGUUAUCCACAAGUAGGAUCUUCCCUCCUUGCUCAGCCCUGGUGGGUUAUCUGCCUUUGGGGCCUGGUCAACUGGCUUUUAAGUCUAUCUUGUGAGAGUAGACUUCUAAAAACUGGAUCAAUGUCUUUGUCAUAUCUGUACUCCAACACAGUCUCAUAUACAAGUUUUUACAUUUUCUUUAGCUUUUAGCUCCUGAAUCACAACUAAUAGGAAGUCUAUGAAAACUGCAUUGAUUAAUUAUGUUCCGACCUUGUCACCCAAUUCUCUAUUCAGCCCUUGCCUGGCUCCCAUUCUGCUCCAUCUCUGGCCACUGUGAAACAUUCUGCCUCUCCUGAGGCAGGGUGAGAAUAAAGAACAUUCCUUAGUUGGGGUCUGUGCACACACACAUGCUUACUCUGAAAGUUCCCUAACACUCGUGGUGCUAACGAUUUGUUCCUUAACUAUCAUGUGGACAGAGGUGUUUGGACACCAUAUUAAUAAUAGCUCUUAGUAUGUAUGUGGUGCAUUCCAUUUUCAAAGGCAUUUAUAAACAUUUCAAGAUGAAAGCGUACACCACCCUUCUUGGGAAAAAGGGAAUGUUAAUCAUCACUGUGUUCAUUCGUUUGGAGAGGAUCACAGAAUCUGAGAGGUGAAAGGGACAUCAGAGGUCACUGGUGCAACUUUCAGUCCCUAGAGGAAUUCUCUUUCCCUUGAAGCCCACCAAGGUGUACAGAAAUGCAACUGAUUUUUGUAUGUUGAACAAAGAAUCCUAAAAUUUAUAUGGAACAACAAAAGACCCCGAAUAGCUAAAGGAAUCCUGAGAAAAAAGAACAAAGCUGGAGGUAUCACACUCCCUGAUUUCAAAAUAUACUACAAAGCUAUAGUAACCAAAACAGCAUGGUACUGGCACAAAAACAGACACACAGAUCAAUGGAAUAGAAUCGAAAGCCCAGAAAUAAACCCACACAUCUAUGGACAGCUAAUCUUUGACAAAGGAGCCAAGAACAUACAAUGGGGAAAAGAAAGUCUCUUCAACAAAUGGUGUUGGGAAAACUGGAUAGCCAUAUGCAAAAAAAUGAAAGUAGACCCUUACCUUACACCAUACACAAAAAUUAACUCCAAAUGGAUUAAAGACUUGAAUGUAAGACCUGAAACUAUGAAACUUCUAGAAGAAAACAUAGGCAGUACACUCUUCGACAUCGGUCUUAGCAACAUCUUUUCAAACACCACGUCUGACCGGGCAAGAGAAACAAUAGAAAAAAUAAACAAAUGGGACUACAUCAAACUAAAAAUCUUCUGCACAGCAAAGGAAACCAUCAACAAAACGAAAAGACAACCUAACAAUUGGGAGAAGAUAUUUGCAAACCAUACUUCUGAUAAGGGCUUAAUCUCCAAAAUAUAUAAAGAACUCAUGCAUCUCAACAACAAAAAAACUACCAACCCAAUUAAAAAAUGGGCAAAAGACCUGAACAGACAUUUCUCCAAAGAAGAUAUACAGAUGGCCAACAGACACAUGAAAAGAUGUUCAAAAAUCAUUAACUAUCAGGGAAAUGCAAAUCAAAACUAUAAUGAGAUAUCACCUCACGCCCGUCAGAAUGGCUAUAAUUAACAAGACAGGAAACAACAUGUGUUGGA